rnacentral:rRNA from 1 species
UACGUAGGGACCAAGCGUUGUUCGGAUUUACUGGGCGUAAAGGGCGCGUAGGCGGCAUGACAAGUCACUUGUGAAAUCUCCGGGCUUAACUCGGAACGGCCAAGUGAUACUGUCGCGCUAGAGUGCAGAAAGGGCAAUCGGAAUUCCUGGUGUAGCGGUGAAAUGCGUAGAUAUCAGGAGGAACACCGAUGGCGAAGGCAGGUCUCUGGGCAUUAACUGACGCUGAGGAGCGAAAGCGUGGGGAGCGAACAGG